rnacentral:rRNA from 1 species
AUGCAUAUAUGCAUGUCAUUUGACCUCAAAUCAGGUAGGACUACCCGCUGAACUUAAGCAUAUCAAUAAGCGGAGGAAAAGAAACUAACAAGGAUUCCCCUAGUAACGGCGAGUGAAGAGGGAAAAGCUCAAAUUUGAAAUCUGGCAGUCUACGGCUGUCCGAGUUGUAAUCUAGAGAAGUGUUUUCCGUGCUGGACCGUGUACAAGUCCUUUGGAACAAGGCGUCAUAGAGGGUGAGAAUCCCGUCUACGACACGGACUACCAGUGCUCUGUGAUACACUCUCAACGAGUCGAGUUGUUUGGGAAUGCAGCUCAAAAUGGGUGGUAAAUUCCAUCUAAAGCUAAAUACAGGCGAAAGACCGAUAGCGAACAAGUACCGUGAGGGAAAGAUGAAAAGCACUUUGGAAAGAGAGUUAAACAGUACGUGAAAUUGUUGAAAGGGAAACGCUUGAAGUCAGUCGCGUCUUCAGAAAUUCAGCCUGGCUUUUGCCUGGUGUACUUUUCUGUUGGACGGGCCAGCAUCAGUUUUGGCCGCCAGAAAAAGGUGGGAGGAAGGUGGCACCUCCGGGUGUGUUAUAGCCUCUCAUCGUAUGUGGCGGCUGGGACUGAGGACCGCAGCACGCCUUUAAUGGCCGGGGUUCGCCCACGUAACGUGCUUAGGAUGCUGGCGUAAUGGCUUUAAACGACCCGUCUUGAAACACGGACCAAGGAGUCUAACAUGCCUGCGAGUAUUUGGGUGGUAAACCCAUAUGCGGAAUGAAAGUGAACAGUUGGGACUUCUGUCAUGGAAGGCACCGACGCCCGGACCAGACCUAUUGUGACGGAUCCGAGGUAGAGCAUGUAUGUUGGGACCCGAAAGAUGGUGAACUAUGCCUGAGUAGGGUGAAGCCAGAGGAAACUCUGGUGGAGGCUCGUAGCGAUUCUGACGUGCAAAUCGAUCGUCGAACUUGGGUAUAGGGGCGAAAGACUAAUCGAAC